rnacentral:rRNA from 1 species
AGCUCGUGUCGUGAGAUGUUGGGUUAAGUCCCGCAACGAGCGCAACCCCUGCAUUCAGUGCCAUCGGGUAAUGCCGGGCACUCUGGAAGGACUGCCAUCGACAAGAUGGAGGAAGGUGGGGAGUGACGUCAAGUCAUCAUGGCCCUUAUGUCCAGGGCGACACACGUGCUACAAUGGCCGGCACAACGGGAAGCGAGUUCGCGAGGACGAGCGGAUCCCUCAAAGCCGGUCGCAGUUCGGAUUGAAGUCUGCAACUCGACUUCAUGAAGCUGGAAUCGCUAGUAAUCGUGGAUCAGCCAAGCCGCGGUGAAUACGUUCCCGGGCCUU